rnacentral:rRNA from 1 species
UUCCAGACUCCUACGGGAGGCAGCAGUGGGGAAUAUUGCACAAUGGGGGAAACCCUGAUGCAGCGACGCCGCGUGAGCGAAGAAGUAUUUCGGUAUGUAAAGCUCCAUCAGCAGGGAAGAAAAAAAUGACGGUACCUGAGUAAGAAGCACCGGCUAAAUACGUGCCAGCAGCCGCGGUAAUACGUAUGGUGCAAGCGUUAUCCGGAUUUACUGGGUGUAAAGGGAGCGUAGACGGCAAUGCAAGCCAGAUGUGAAAGCCCGGGGCUCAACCCCGGGACUGUAUUUGGAACUGUGUAGCUGGAGUGUCGGAGAGGCAGGCGGAAUUCCUAGUGUAGCGGUGAAAUGCGUAGAUAUUAGGAGGAACACCAGUGGCGAAGGCGGCCUACUGGACGAUGACUGACGUUGAGGCUCGAAAGCGUGGGGAGCAAACAGGAUUAGAUACCCGAGUA